rnacentral:rRNA from 1 species
UACGUAGGGGGCAAGCGUUAUCCGGAUUUACUGGGUGUAAAGGGAGUGUAGGCGGCCGGGCAAGCCAGAUGUGAAAGCCCGCGGCUCAACCGCGGGACUGCAUUUGGAACUGUUUGGCUAGAGUGCAGGAGGGGAAAGCGGAAUUCCUAGUGUAGCGGUGAAAUGCGUAGAUAUUAGGAGGAACACCGGUGGCGAAGGCGGCUUUCUGGACUGUUACUGACGCUGAGGCUCGAAAGCGUGGGGAG